CGGGGCGGGGGUAAAUGGCCCGGAGUAGCCGUGACCCUGCAACCUGAGAGCACAUAAUAAACACCGGGAGGAAAAGAACAAUUUUCUGCAGAGAUUUCUACACAUGAGUAAAAAUGCGUGGAAGCAGAGGCUGUGGCAUGGUAACAGGCCUUUCCGGCCCAACGAGUCGGCGCCGCCCAUUUUAAACCGAAUUAACCUACCCGUACGUCUUUGCAAUGUGGGAGGAAACCAGAGCACCCAGAGGAAACCCACGCAGACACGGGAGAACGUACAAACUCCUUACAGACAGCAACGGGAAUCGAACUCCGAUCGCUGGCGCUGUAAUAGCGUCGCGCUAACCGCUACGCUACCGUGCGUUGGCUGACUAAUGGGGAACAAAAAAUAGGUGUAAAUGGGUCUUUUUCUGAUUGCCAAAAUGCAACGUGGCGUGUUACAGGGAUUUGUGCUCUGGCCCUGACUAUUUUUAAAUUUAUAUAAAUGACUUAGAUUGAAGCACUAAAGGUAUAGUUGCCAAAUUUGUGAAUGAUGCAAAGAUAGCUAGAUGGGUAAAUUGUGAAGUGGACAGAAGGUGGCUACAAAGGAAUGCAGUCAGGUUAAGUGAAUGGCAAAUAUUUGACAAAUGGGAGUGCAAUGAGCAAAAAUAUGAAAUUGCCCAUUUUUGUGGGGAAAAUUAAAAUAAUGGCAUAUUAUCCAAAUGUUGAGAGAUUUCAGAGCUCUGAGAUCCAGAGGGGUCUGGGUGCUCCAGUGCAUAAUUUGGAAAGGUUGUUUGCAGGUACAGCAAAUAACUAGGAAAGCUGACAGACUGUUAUAAUUUUUUGCUAGAAGACUUGAAUACAAUAGUAAGGAUGUUAAUACAAGUUAUACAAGGCACUGGUGAGAGCAGACACAAGUACCAUUGGUCUCCUUAUUUAAAAGAUGUAAAUACAUUUGGGUUACACACAAAGGAGCUGGAGGAACUCAGCAAAUCAGGUUCCAACUCAGCAAGUCAGGAACUCAGCUUCCAAAUACACAGAAAGUAGUUCAGAGAUUUACUAGAUUAACAUUUGGAAUGGGUGGAUUGUCUUUUAAGAAAAAGUUAAAACAAUGUAGGUUUGUAUGCACUGGAUUUCAAAGAGUGAGAUAUGGUGACAAAAAUAUAAGAUCCUAAGGGCUCUUGAUGAGCUAGACGUGGAGAGGACAUGUCCUCUUGUUGCUGAACUGAGGGUUAUUGUUAAAAAAUGUUUCAUGUUGUUUCAUAAUUUAUGACAUAGAAACAACUAUUUGGCCAUUUCCCAAAGUUCCCAUUUCCCCACUUAUUCCCCUGUAACCUCUUCUCUAUCAUCCAUGGGACAUUUUUAACUCUUUGACUUUUUGGAAUUCUAUUAUGCAUAGUGUAUGAAUAUUGUUACGGCAGAGCUAAAUAGAUACUUGAUAUGCAAGGGGAUGAAAGAUGAUCUUGGGUAGAUGGUAAUGCAUAGUGUUUACAAUCAAAUCAGCCAUAAUCUUGUAAAAUGAUGGAGCAGGCUUGAGGGGCAUAGAGCCUGCUUCUGCUCCCAAUUCCUUUGUUUGUAAAACAUGAUCUUGAUGAAUAGCUGAGCAAGGGCCAGAUGACCUACUCCUGCUCCUAAUUAUGUUCUUCUAAACCAGUAAAUCAAUGAGCAUGGACCACUUCUUAUUCAGUCUC